UUCAUGUUUCCAUUCAUGACUGUAUGCAUGCGUGCGUCUCGGGGAGAUACGAUACAGAACAUUAUGAUAAUAUUAUUAUAUUCACUGCUUUUCAGUUGAUAUAAUGCCAGCGAGCAUGCACACCCGUCUAAACGCGAGUUAUGUCGAGAUGUUUUAUUCACUUUCGAAUGGCAUUCGCUGGGCCUUGUAGUAUUAACGAUGCCUCAUUGGAGACAUCCGUUUGUGCAUUCUGUCGUUCUGAAGUUGGAGGAUUUCGUAAGCAGUUAGUUGACUUUCAAUGAGACAGAACAUCGUUCGUUAAGAGAUGUGUAUGGUGUAAACUAAAUGGUGGUGUAAUGUUUUCUUUAUUUUGUGAAUAUUUGUACCUUUUAAUUCAACUAUACUGCAUUUGCAUUGCGCAAACACCCGCUGAACAGCAAGCUCUAAAAACUUCAUAAUCAUAUUACCCCAGCAGACAUGUUAGCAUUCUGAAACAAUCUCAAAUUUCUGGGAAGCUGACAUUGUUCUAAAACAAGGGAAAAAAAGACCAUCGCAGGAUUUCUGUGUGACCGUGUGUUUGGUGUGUUACUUAUCGUGUCUUCUUCAAUGAGAUACUAUAGUGCCGAGGAAGCGUUGGCCCUUGUGCUUCGGGCAGUGAGUGCGAGGAGAUUAGUAUGCCCAGCUGUCAGUGGGACAGCUCUGUAUGGAUAGUAAGCGACUCCGUGGAGGAUGCGGGUUGAUUUGCUCUUGUGUGUGCUUCUCGCCAUGACGUGGGCAACGCAUCAAUGUCUGGCCAAACCCGCAGCGGCGCCAAACAAGAAGAAAGAGAAGAAGGA